CAGUGGGACAACAACAUUAAUCACGGGUUUCAUCACUGGAUCUUGUGUUGUGAGAUGUAAAGUCCCCUGUUAUGUGUCCGGCUGUGCCGUGUUGUUGGUGGAGUGGCCAGCGUGGUGUUUGUCUCGAUUCGGGUCACAACACCAGAAUUGCCAGCGGGGUCCACACACAGUGUAUUAGUCAACAGAAAACCUCUCGUCCCUGCAGUCUUUGUCUCCUGGUAAACUCAACACCCUGACAAUGUGGACCACAGAUACUCCUUCCUCUUUAAAGUCAGUUAUUCAUUCAGACAGCUGAUCGCUGAGAGGAAUUAUAUUUAUUGGUCAUUAACGUUCGCCCAGAUUCGUUUGGACGGAUAUGAUAUGGAGUUCGGGGUGUCACAGUGAAAGGGCCGGAGGGCCGAACUCUCUCCGUUGUCCAAACAUCCUUCCAGGUGAGGCGACACUUCACCUGUGAAUCUUCCUGGGUCGCCCGUUGUAUCCGCUGCUCCCGAUGCUGCCGCCUCUUCACUGGUUACACCAGCUCCUCCGCAGUUGUGCGGGGCAGGGUUGUUUUUUUGCGGGGCGGAUCGAUGUUUGUGGUGAACUAUGUGCCUGUCGGGACACGCCCCUGCUGACUGCUCCUGUGGCUCCUCCCACAGGCCCCUGUAUAAAGGCGAUCUGAGGCCUGACGCUCGGCCUCAGUCUCCAGGACAUUGUCUGAUAGACACUCACUCCUGGUUCCUUCUUCCAGUCAAUAAAAGCCGAUAUCUCGCCUUAUGUCUCAGUUUAGACCUGUGGUGAGAGAUUUAUUGGAAGAAAAGCCCACAACUGGAAGCAAACUACGACUAAAGAAGAGGGAACAGCAGCAAGUGAACCAGCCCGAGGACUGAGAGCACCGACUGGAGAGAACCCAUCUGACUCAGGGUUUCCAGUGAUUCCGUCAGGAGCAAGUUUGGUUUAACUAGAAAGGAUUGAAGGCAGUGGAGAAGGAAAGGUCAGUGCCUUUAAGCCGUUCUGUUUCGUGAAUUCUUCGUGGGAAGUUCAGCAUCGGGGAUCGAAGCAAGCGACGUGAAAGAGAAUUUAAAUCGUCCUAUAAAGUCUCUCCUUUUAAAUGGACUGUGAGCAUAUCGAACUUUUGGCAAUACCACUUUUAAGAACUGUUUUGGAAUAUCACUUUACGAACUGUUUGAACAGCCGCUCAGCAGCUGUUUCCGGUUACGGUAGUGUUUGUUUACUUUUGGGGGGUUUGUUUUCUGUGUUUAAUAAACAUGUUGUUUGUUAUAAGA